CACCUGCAAAAAAAGUGCAUCCUGCCGCAGCUUCUUUCAGACUGUGUUAAGGAAUUGGAGCUGGAACUGGAUGAACUCUGGAUCAUUUGGAAGCAUGAGAAGUUGAUCAACAGGACAUACAGGGAGGAAGUUACUCCCAAGGAAGAGAAGCAUGGGAGGACAGAAGAAAGACACAGUGACAGAACUGUAGACAAUAGAAACUGAAGCAAAUUCCUAAUACAUGUAAAUGUAUGUGGCAAAUAAAGCUGACCCUUGAUCUAAAGGUCAAAGUUGCUCUGAACUGCAAAACGGUUAAAUCCUCCGGGAAAAGCGGAGACUGGAACUGAAGAAUCAAGAAAUCACACAAUUAAUGAAGAAUUGAA